rnacentral:sRNA from 2 species
AUAUCUCUCUGUACGGGAAGGAUGAGAAGCUUCUACCAGGGUUCGAUUCGAGCGCAGCGAGAAAGCGUUGCCGCAGGCAACGACCCGAAGGGCGAAGCGCGCAGCGCUGAGUCAU